UCCCAGAAAAAGGAAGAACAGAAAAAAUAUUUAAAUAGCAACUGUUCUGUUAAUUAAACUUUGGGACAUUGACAUGGGCUGGGGGAGAUGACUAGAUCUACUAGAAAGUAUUAUUCUAUUCAUUUACCUCUUAGUCCUACAAAA
rnacentral:snoRNA from 1 species